AGUUUUAUCAAUACAGAAUAUAUAACUAGUUGAUAUAUAUGGAGCAAAAUUUUCAUCCAACGUCUUAAUAUAUAUCUUUAGAUAAAAUAAUAUACAGUUUUUAAAACAUAGCAUUCAUCAGUACACAAUAUAAGAAUAAAUGAUACACACUAGAUAGCUUAUUGAUAUAUAUUAUAAGCUUUUUUGAUACAUAUCUAGCAAUGAUCCAAUACGCACCU
rnacentral:lncRNA from 1 species